GACGAACGCUGGCGGCGUGCUUAACACAUGCAAGUCGAACGGAAAGGCCCUGCUUUUGUGGGGUGCUCGAGUGGCGAACGGGUGAGUAACACGUGAGUAACCUGCCCUUGACUUUGGGAUAACUUCAGGAAACUGGGGCUAAUACCGGAUAGGAGCUCCUGCUGCAUGGUGGGGGUUGGAAAGUUUCGGCGGUUGGGGAUGGACUCGCGGCUUAUCAGCUUGUUGGUGGGGUAGUGGCUUACCAAGGCUUUGACGGGUAGCCGGCCUGAGAGGGUGACCGGCCACAUUGGGACUGAGAUACGGCCCAGACUCCUACGGGAGGCAGCAGUGGGGAGUAUUGCACAAUGGGCGGAAGCCUGAUGCAGCAACGCCGCGUGCGGGAUGACGGCCUUCGGGUUGUAAACCGCUUUCGCCUGUGACGAAGCGUGAGUGACGGUAAUGGGUAAAGAAGCACCGGCUAACUACGUG
rnacentral:rRNA from 1 species